CCUACGGGCGGCAGCAGUGAGGAAUAUUGGUCAAUGGCCGGAAGGCUGAACCAGCCAAGCCGCGUGAAGGACGAAGGUGCCAAGCAUUGUAAACUUCUUUUGUCAAGGGACAAAAUCAGGCUCGAGAGCCUGACCGAGGGUACUUGAAGAAAAAGCAUCGGCUAACUCCGUGCCAGCAGCCGCGGUAAUACGGGGGAUGCGAGCGGUAUCCGGAUUUAGUGUGGUUAAAGGGUGCGUCGGCGGAGUGUUACGUCAGCGGGAAAAGCCCGGGGCUCAACCCCGGCGAGCCGUUGAAACUGGCUGGCUUGAGAUGUCGAGAGGUAUGCAGAAUGCGCAGUGUAGCGGUGAAAUGCUUAGAUAUUGCGCAGAACUCCGAGUGCGAAGGCAGCAUACCGGCGGCGAUCUGACGCUGAGGCACGAAAGCGUGGGUAUCGAACAGGAUUAGAUACCCCAGUAGUC
rnacentral:rRNA from 1 species